rnacentral:rRNA from 1 species
CAAUAGCGUAUAUUAAAGUUGUUGCAGUUAAAAAGCUCGUAGUUGGAUUUCUGGUAGGAGCGACCGUGCCGAACUUGAUUGUUCGAGUAUUGCGUUGUCUUCAGCCAUCCUCGUGGAGAACUUUUCUAACAUUAACUUGUUGGGAUUGGGACCCGCGUCGUUUACUGUGAAAAAAUUAGAGUGUUUAAAGCAGGCAUUAGCUUGAAUACAUUAGCAUGGAAUAAUAAGAUAGGACUUUGGUACUAUUUUGUUGGUUUGCAUACCAAAUUAAUGAUCAACAGGAACAGUUUGAGGAUAUUCGUAUGAACAUGUCAGAGGUGAAAUUCUUGGAUUUUGAUCAGACGAACUACUGCGAAAGCAUUUAUCAAGGAUGUUUUCAUUAA